UGUCCAGAAAACUUCUUUAAAUAAUCCUGCUACUAUUGUUUUGGAUAACAUAAUUUCUUUGGACUAUCUUUCAGCUAAACAUAUGGCAGUGUAUACAAAUACACUUGGAUAAAUACAUCUGGUAUGGUAAAAACUCAACUGCAAGAAAUCAACAAACAAGCAACUUGGUGUAAACAAGCUCGUAAGUGGAAGAAAUUUGCCUUGUCGCAAAUGAGAUUUUGGACUGUGGACUUUUGGGUUAAUGCUGAAGUUCAAGGUCUUCUCCUGCCUUAAUCUCCCAAGUUGCUGGAACUACAGGCUUGCACCACAAUGCCCUGCUGAUUUUGUAUUUUUAGUAUAGACGGGAUUUCACCAUGUUGGCCAGUCUGGUCUUGAAUUUCUUACCUCAGGUGAUUCGCCCACCUCGGCUUCCCAAAGUGCUGGGAUUACAGGCAUGAGCCAACAACGCCUGGCCGACGUCUUACAUUUUUAGUAUUUGCACUUUAUUGUGUGCCAAUGAUAUCUUAAUAAAGUUGUUUAAAAGUUUUAUACAAAUUCACUUGAGUCUGCCUUUUGAUAUUAGUUAUAAAAUAAUUUGGAAUUUGCACUUAUUGACCAAAAUUGAUACGACCCUUUGAAAUAUUUUCUUUUCAUAUUAAACUUUAUUCCAAUACAAAACUAACCAACUUAGUUCACUGUUGUGGUUUUGGUGUUGUUUUGUGUUUCCUCAUUGUGUUUGCUUCAUUUUCCUUAUGCAAGCAUAUAGAUCCUGUGUUGUUAAAUUUUGCAAUAUACAGUAAUACAUUGUAUUCAACCAGAUUUCAAAACUUUCAUAUAUGAUAACAUAUUUAUGUUAUAUUGAAUCGCUCUGCAUUUAGAGGCAACAAUCUGAAUAGAAAACCAACAUUGUUUUAACAAUGGCAGAGUUAAAAAAAAUCCAGUGUAUAAGCAUUUUCCUUGUGUUAAUAGUGUCCAGCACUUUGGUAAUAAGUUAGGAAGGAGAUAUUGUUUGUUCAAAGUAACUUUGCAUUUUCCAAUUAUUCACAUAAUCGACACUUUUCAAAAACACUUUUCCUCUCUA
rnacentral:lncRNA from 1 species